CUCUGCGCGCGCCGGCGGCUGCCGUGGCGGGUGGGCGGCUGCCAUUCUCUUCUCGGCCAGUUCUCGAGCGCCUCCCCGGGCCCCGCCCUGCAGCCUCGGUCUCCCUGGCGCUGCGCGGCCUAGGGGACUGGGCUGCUGGCCUCCGGGUGCGGGGUGGGGGCAGGCUCUGACCUGGGGCGUCCUGGCCGCGUGAGCCGCGGGAUGGGGGCCCGGGCCCCGGAGGAGGCGCCGCUGUUGUGUUCCUUGGUGGAGAGGGCGCUGCCGGCCCUGCGCGGUUUCCAGCCAGGAAGCUUCGGGAAGCCUGGACGUCUGCUCACUGGAAACGACACGUGCGUGGGGUGUUGGCAUUCUUGUUAUUUAACACAGGAAGGAGGUGACUUCGCCUGUGAUGGACUUCCAGUGUGAGCACUGGCCAGAGUGACCAGGCCGACCAGCACCAGCCCUGAUCCAGACGCAGAGGCCAAGAUGUGGGCCCAGCCCUGUGCCAGAAGGCUGGCUGGAAUAAAGGGAUGGGCAGGCUGGCAUGGGGACACCCGCUGCCCCUGCCUGGGUAGUGCUGUGUAUUUCCGCCGGCCAGGGGCCACUGCCAGGACCACCCCUCCAUUUUCAUAUCCCGAUUCUUAAGUUCUGCCAUUGUGGUAUUCUGGUGGAAAAAAAAGAACCGCUUGGCUGUUUUUGAACUGUCUGGAACCUAAGAUCCCGAAUCCCCCCCCCGCCCCCCCGCAGGGGGAAAAUCUAUAUGGAAAACAUUUAUUUUAAAAUACAGGAUGAAGUGAAUUAAAAGAUUUAAAUGCA
rnacentral:antisense_RNA from 1 species